AUACGAAGGGGGCUAGCGUUGCUCGGAAUUACUGGGCGUAAAGGGCGCGUAGGCGGCGCAGUUAGUCAGGCGUGAAAUUCCUGGGCUCAACCUGGGGACUGCGCUUGAUACGGCUGUGCUAGAGGAUGGAAGAGGCUCGCGGAAUUCCCAGUGUAGAGGUGAAAUUCGUAGAUAUUGGGAAGAACACCGGUGGCGAAGGCGGCGAGCUGGUCCAUUACUGACGCUGAGGCGCGACGGCGUGGGGAGCAAACAGGAUUAGAUACCCUGGUAGUCCACGCCGUAAACGAUGUGCGCUGGAUGUUGGGUGGCCUAGCCACUCAGUGUCGUAGCUAACGCGGUAAGCGCACCGCCUGGGGAGUACGGCCGCAAGGUUGAA
rnacentral:rRNA from 1 species